rnacentral:sRNA from 1 species
CUCUUGUCGCCUACCUGCAACUCGAUUGAACUUGGGUAUACAAACCAAGAUAAAGCCUCUCAUUAGCCGCGCGAACCGCUGUAACGGAAGAACCUAGUAAUACAUUAACCUUAUUUGUCUAUGCUUCCUAGAAGAAAGGGGCCAAUUUGGCCCCUUUCU